rnacentral:rRNA from 1 species
AACGAACGCUGGCGGCAGGCUUAACACAUGCAAGUCGAACGGGCGUAGCAAUACGUCAGUGGCAGACGGGUGAGUAACACGUGGGAACCUUCCUCGUUGUGCGGAACAACUCAGGGAAACUUGAGCUAAUACCGUAUACGUCCGAGAGGAGAAAGAUUUAUCGCAAUGAGACGGGCCCGCGUCGGAUUAGGUAGUUGGUGGGGUAACGGCCUACCAAGCCGACGAUCCGUAGCUGAUCUGAGAGGAUGACCAGCCACACUGGGACUGAGACACGGCCCAGACUCCUACGGGAGGCAGCAGUGGGGAAUCUUGGACAAUGGGCGCAAGCCUGAUCCAGCCAUGCCGCGUGAGUGAAGAAGGCCUUAGGGUUGUAAAGCUCUUUUACCAGGGACGAUAAUGACGGUACCUGGAGAAUAAGCCCCGGCAAACUUCGUGCCAGCAGCCGCAGUAAUAC